UUGUGACGUAUCUCCUUCUACGUCUAGCACGUUCAAACAGCUUUUCGUGGACUUUUAUGGAACUAAAAGUAAUUUUUGGACUGAAGAUACGACUUAAAUUGACAGUUUGGACCUUUAGCGAAACAAACGGAGCGUUUUGACCUGGAUAAUAUUGAUUGUCGGAGCGAUAUGAGGCUUUUCUGGUUACACCCACGGAUGCUCCAAACUAAACCCAAACUCACCACCAGCCUUUGAGAACUGAAGAACCUCCACGGAUGAAACGUCUUUAAGAAACUCUACAGAACUCUCUCUCCUUUGACCUCCUCGGAUACUCGCCUCCCUCCUCGCGCCGUCAUCUGUCCACUGCAGGAUUUCAGGUUUCCGCGGGCAGAGCUGGGAGUCUGGAGAGGACUUCAGGGAAUCAGGGAACGGAGAGAGGACGGAGGACUCUGGUACCAGAUGAGAUGAGGAGGUGGUGGAGGAGGAAGUACGGAGGGCUUUUCACAUCCGAGCCAGAUGCUUCAGACGCUCAUUAGCCAUGAAGGAAUAGUAAAUGUACCAACAUCUGUGUCACUAAUUGCACAGGGCUUAAAAAAAAAAAACUACCCUUAUUUCUCUUUCAAAUAAAUCUGCCUCAGUCUCACGAGGAUGUUUGAGAGAGGAACCCAAAAAGACGUUUGCAAGAAGUGAAAUUGGAAGGAAAUGCCACAAAUCUCUGGAACCAAUCCUCUCAUGACUGGACAUAGAAAUAUAAUAAACUGAGUCUGGACCUUGUGAAUGACGCCUUAUUGCUGCACCGGAGCUGUACUCUGUGGUGGAAGUGGUACUGAAAGCUGACAGCCAAUAAAAUUCAUUUCCUUUAGUCAGAUUUGUCCUAAGUGAC